rnacentral:lncRNA from 10 species
ACAGCGUGAGGGCCGCCGUUGCUGGAGUUCAGCUUAGGGAAGGAGGACUCUGAGGAGGCCCCGAGCGGCGGAGCGCUUCGGGGGAGGCGCCCGCGCAGACGCGAGGCCCAUAGCCAGGACCACCACCUAGCUGGAAAAGAACUACAGCCUGUGUGGGUCCCCUCCCGACAAUUAAAAUUGCACCAUAACUCCAAAGAUGAAACGCUCCCAGAAAGAAAAGGCAAAGACCCAUCGGAAACAAAAGAGCAACUUUCACCGCCUGAUACAUACACUUCAUGACAUCCACAUUGAGACAAAAUCUCGCCGUGUGACCUACAACACCUCUCGUUCAACCCCACCUACUUGGGGUCGAAUACAGAUUUUAUCUCAUCAAACAGAAAAAUUCUUAACAGAAAAAGGAAUCCCAAAAAUGACUGGUAAUAUAAUUCUGGCUGCCUUUAUGGUAGUCAGUGCAGCGUCUGCAGAUGCCUCUAAGGAGUCCGAAACCAAGUCCGAAGUCAACAACAAGCAAUGAUGGCGAUGGCGAUUCUAGUUAAUAAAAAGGGGGGAGAUGUGGGCGGCAAGCCACCCAGGCACCGAGGCAAGAGACAGAGGACACGAGCUGUUCCAGUAUAAUAAAAUAUAAAACAAGAAUAGUUAUACCAGAUAUAGAUCUUAGAUAUGAUUAUAUACGAAUAUCAUUAAUCAUGAGUUUGUAGCAAUUACUUUUUAUUCCAAUAUUAUGAUAAUCCUCGCUCUAUAAUCAUAGCCUAGGAAAAACCAGGCCAUACAGAGAUAGGAGCUGAGGGGACAUAGUGAAGUGUGACCAGAAGACAAGAGUGCGAGCCUUCUGUUAUGCCCGGACAGGGCCACCAGAGGGCUCCUUGGUCUAGCGGUGACGCCAGCGUCUGGGAAGACACCCGUUACCAGGCGGAUCGUGGCCCAGCCGUAGCAAAAGGUGUCAAGGAACACCUUUUGCAAAAGGUGUCAACACCCGCUACUUAGCAGACUGGGAAAGGGGGGCGGUCUCCCUUUCCCCGGGGGAGUUUAGAGAAGACUCUGUUCCUCCACCUCUUGUGGAGGGCCUGACAUCAGUCAGGCUUGCCCGUAGUUAUCCGGAGGCCUAACUGUCUCCCUGUGAUGCUGUGCUUCAGUGGUCACGCUCCUAGUCUGCCUUCAUUUUCCAUCCUGUACACCUGGCUCUGCCUUCUAGAUAGCAGUAGUAAAUUAGUGAAAAUACUAAUAGUCCCUGAUAUGCAGAAAUAAUGGCAUAAGCUGUCUUUCUCUCUGUCUCCUCUCCCUCUCUGCCUCGGCUGCCAGGCAGGGAAGGGCCCCCUGUCCAGUGGACACAUGACCCAUGUGACCUUACCUAUCAUUGGAGGUGACUCACAUUCUUUACCCUGCCCCUUCUGCCUUGUAUCCAAUAACAGCGCAGUCAGACAUUCAGGGCCACUACCGGUCUCCGCACAUUGGUGGUAGUGGUCCCCCGGGCCCAGCUGCCUUUUCUCUUA